UGGGAGGGGGGAGGGGAGGGGAGGAAGGGGCGGGGGCGGGGGCGGGCACAAGGGCCUGGAGGAGAGGGAGGGCUGGUCCUGGACACCCAGCAGGCCAGAGUGCGGUGGGUUGCUUCCUUAGAUCAGAGCCCAGACUUUUCGGGAGGAGCACCCCGGGGAGCCUAGUGGAAGUGGAAGGGCAGCUGAGAGUCACCAUCCGGACUCUGUUCUCCACAAUUUCCGGGUCUCACCUGUCUAAGGCUGCCUCACCAGCGGAGACGUCCUCUUCAGGGCCCUCCAGGCCACCCUCCCAAGAGCACCCCAAGGAGCCGGGCACUGCCAACAAGCUGCCGCUCCCCCAAGAGCAGCCGCAGCCCCAGGAGCUCCCCCAAGAGCAGCCGCAGCCCCAGGAGCUCCCCCAAGACCAGCCGCAGCCCCAGGAGCUCCCCCAAGACCAGCCGCAGCCCCAGGAGCUCCCCCAAGACCAGCCGCAGCCCCAGGAGCUCCCCCAAGACCAGCCGCAGCCCCAGGAGCUCCCCCAAGACCAGCCGCAGCCCCAGGAGCUCCCCCAAGACCAGCCGCAGCCCCAGGAGCUCCCCCAAGACCAGCCGCAGCCCCAGGAGCUCCCCCAAGACCAGAUGCAGCCGCAGCCCCAAGAGGGCCCCCAAGAGAGGCGCCAUUCCAAGGGGCACCACCACCAUUCAAAACACCACCACCACCAUUCAAAAUGGCAGCAGCUCCCCCAAGAGCAGCCACAGCCCCGAAGGCUGUGCAAAUGCCAGAAAACACAGGAGCCGCCACUGCGGGUUAAGGUUCGGGACACCUUAGGGGAGCCCAGAACCCUGGCCGAAGUUAUGUUAAAAAAAUUAGAGGCCUGGGAUGCCUGGCGGUUCGGGUGGGUCCGCUGCCAGCCUCCGGAAGCCGCCGGGGUCGCCACAGAGCAGCCCAAGGACAAACCGAGGGACGGACCGGAGCCCACCCAGGCCUCACAGCCCUGCGCCAGUUUCAAGGCUCUGAGGAAGGCUAUCCAGAAGCCACCGAGCUGGCUCACCAGAGCAUGGCAACAGGGCAAAAAGGUGGUCUGCACCUGUACCAGGGGCUCCAGCUAAUCCCCUGCCCAGGCCACCUAACUGCAUUAGAUUUUUUUUUUAAUUUUUUAAAAUAUAUUUUAUUUGAUUAUUUCCAAGCAUUAUUCAUUAAAGACAUAGAUCAUUUCUUUUCCU
rnacentral:lncRNA from 1 species